AGUCGUCGUACUGCGUUGCGGAGGAAUAGACAUCUGAACAUCGCCUCACGAUGGCUCCGUAUCGUCGCGCAUGUGCGAGUUGAAAUAAGGUGGCCGGUGCGGUAAUAGCAUUCGGGGUAAUACUGGUGCAGACUGGAAGCGACUCGCCGCGACAGUCGGACGUGCAUCAAAGCGACGCGUCGACUUGUCUGAAGGAACGAUCUCUGCAGUUUAACCGAAUGGUAUGGCGAGAAGAUAAACCUCCGAAAGUCUAUAAAAUGCAUCACAGAAAGACGAUUCUAUACUGCAUUCGUACGGAAAAAGAACUGCUUUUACUGCGACGUGCCGUUAAAAACUUCAUACUGCACUUUCUCUGUCCUUUUCUCUAUCUGGCUGUUGCGAUGCGCCGUCAACGGCAAGUUGUCGUUUUUACGGUGUCCUCGCCGUCAUGCCACUUAUGCAUUCUUGUUGUGAUCGUCCCCGCCACAUGGCGCAAAAGAAGAUAGUGGAACAAACAUUACCUACCACCGGCAGGAACAGCAACCCGCACUAUAUGUAGAAUGAACGCCCCUGUAGUAGAGCUCGGCGAACACAGUCGAGAGUCAAUUCACUCACUCACUCAAACUCCGACCAACCCGUGAACAGAGUCCGAGUGAGGGGACCCUAACACAAGUACAUACAUACAUACAUACAUACAUACAUACAUACAUACAUACAUACAUACAUACAUACAUACAUUUCAAUGGUUUGUACUGUGGUGAAGCCAACUCCUUGCCGCCUCUUGUUCUGCAGUGAAGGCCAAAUAUUAAUUUCCCAGAAAAAAAUAUCCGUUUCAGGCAGGCAAAAGAAAUUCCCUCCAAAGAGCUGUUUGCUUGCAUUGAUCACUCCGCACGCAUUCGCAGACGCCGUUUUUCGCGAUAACGAUACGAAUGGCCACAUAUUAAUUUUCCCGAAAUAAUAAAAAAACGGUAAGCCCACGAAAAUAUCCGUUUCGGGCAAGUAAAAUGUGUCAUAUGUAAGAGGCAUGGGACGCAAAAAGAAGAGGACGAUGUGCGCCGACCGGUCCGAAUGGCACGAGCCCUCGAGGCGCGUGACCCGAGGUGUGAUCGGAGGAGAAGCGGCGCCAAGGUGGGAUUAUCGACGUGGCUAUGGGCCAAGAAGGUCGGAGCGCCAGCUUCGUACUGGCGACGGGACCCAUGAAGGUUCGGACAGGCCCGUGACGCUGGCGACCCAGGGUGUGCCCGUCGACCUCGGCGACGUUCGAGCGAGGCUUCCAGGACCUGCUGCAGCCUCCCACGGCAGUGCCGGGCACUCCAGGAAUUGGAUCCCUCUUCUUCGGCAGACCAGCACGAACGGUAGUCCCCGGGGCGUACCGCCGGCACUCGGAUAAGAAGCGAUGGAGCCCGGUGUUAGGCCUAGCCAGGCAGGCCUGAGUGCCACGUCACCGACAUAAUUCGGGACGCCAGCAUCCGAGACGGAGGAGCUGGCCGGCCGAUACCAAGGAAGCAAAACUUGUGGAAUCGGCGGGAGCACUGACGGGGACCAAGAGCCGACACACAUCGGACUUGGAGUGACAUGCGACGACGGAACCUUGUAAGAGCGUUCCUUUUUGUUAGCGUGCAGCCAUAGGUCAGGGUUGCCGGACUAUUGCGCGAAAUGCGCUAAGGACGCCCGUAGGCGAAGAUAAGGACAUUGUUUUGGCUAAGCAAGUUCGGAGUUUUAUUUUUGUCAGUUGAGUUUUGAGUUCCGUUUUGAGUGUGUUUUAUUUUGGGUUUGCUAUUAGUAAAGUCUAUUUGCUGUGCU